CGUCCAAUAGUUUAAAGGUAGAACACUUGCCUGAUUAGCGAGUAGUCUGGGUUCAAGUCCUAGUUGGACGA
rnacentral:tRNA from 1 species